ensembl:lincRNA
CUCCCUGGACGGGGCAUACCAAUGGGGUGAGGGCGGAGCCACAGGGCACUCACACAGACCUCCCCGCAGUGCGAGGGGCCUCCUGCGCCUGGCCGAUGCCCUGGCCUUCCGUCAGGACCUGGAGGUGGUCAGCUCCACCGUCCGUGCCGUCGUCGCCACCCUGAGGUCUGGGGAGCAGUGCAGUGUGGAGCCUGAGCUGAUCAGCAAAGUCCUCCAGGGGCUGAUGGAGGUGAGGUCCCCUACCUGGAGGAGCUGCUGACUGUGCUCUUCUCUGCCACUGCGGACGCCGCCUCCCCGUUUCCGGGCUGUAAGCCCGUGGUGGUGGUGAGCUCCCUGCUGCUGCAGGAGGAGGAGCCCCUGGCUGCGGGGAAGCCGGAUGCGGAUGGCGGCAGCCUGGAGGCCGUGCGGCUGGGGCCCUCGUCAGGCCUCCUGGUGGACUGGCUGGAGAUGCUGGACCCCGAGGUGGUCAGCAGCUGCCCCGACCUGCAGCACAGGCUGCUCUUCUCCCGGAGGAAGGGCAAAGGUCAGGCCCAGGUGCCCUCGUUCCGCCCCUACCUCCUGACCCUCUUCACGCAUCAGUCCAGCUGGCCCACGCUGCACCAGUGCAUCCGAGUCCUGCUGAGCAAGAGCCGGGAGCAGAGGUUCGACCCCUCCGCCUCUCUGGACUUCCUCUGGGCCUGCAUCCACGUUCCUCGCAUCUGGCAGGGGCGAGACCAGCGCACCCCGCAGAAGCGGCGGGAGGAGCUAGUGCUGCGGGUGCAGGGCCCAGAGCUCAUCAGCCUGGUGGAGCUGAUCCUGGCCGAGGCAGAGACGCGGAGCCAGGACGGGGACACGGCCGCCUGCAGCCUCAUCCAGGCCCGGCUGCCCCUGCUGCUCAGCUGCUGCCGUGGGGACGAUGAGAGCGUCAGGAAGGUGACAGAGCACCUGUCAGGCUGCAUCCAGCAGUGGGGAGACAGUGUGCUGGGCAGGCGCUGCCGAGACCUCCUCCUGCAGCUCUAUCUACAGCGGCCAGAGCUGCGGGUGCCCGUGCCUGAGGUCCUGCUGCACAGUGAAGGAGCUACCAGCAGCAGCAUCUGCAAGGUGAGGGCACCACUCUGCUGCUCCUUGUGCCAUCCCAGGUGCCCUGGCCGGGCAGGGAGGGAGGGCGGAGGCUCCAGUUUCUGUGGGCCAUCACCGGCUUCACCUCUUGUCCCUUCCCGGUCCGUGCUGCCGGGUGGCCCCGUGGGUUUGUCUGCACUGAGUCUUAAACCAAGGGGACCUGCAGGCGCUUUGCUCGCGGGGCGCCAUCCAGCAGAGUCUGCAGAGUCGUGGUGUCAUGGGCGCUGAGCGGCCUGCCAUUGUGUGGAUCGACCGUUGGUUUAUCUGUUCACCUGCUGGUGGACGUGGAGUCACGUUCAGUUUGGGGCAGUGACAGCUGCUGGGGACUCGUGCAUGGGUCUUGGUGGACGGCUGCGUCUGCUCCUCUUCAGUGACCCUGGGGGCGGGGCUGGGCCUCUCGUGCCCGCUUCCCCGCCGCUGGCUGGGACCUGCAGCCUGUCUUCUGCUGGUACCACAGAGGGCAGCUGACUUUUUCUAAUCAUUUCUGCUUGUGAUUUUUUUCACUUAUAAGUUGUUUCAUACAUUGAAAUCAUACUUGAUGUGCAGUUUUGCGGGGAGUUUUUGAGGCAGGGUGUCUGUUGCCGAGGCUGGAGUGCGGCGGCACUAUCAUAGCUCACUACAGCCUCAACCUCCCGUGCUCAAGUGAUCCUCCCACCUCAGCCUCCCGAGUAGCUGGGACCACAGGCAUGUGCCACCACACCCAGUUAAUUUUUUUUUUUUUGAGACGGGA